rnacentral:rRNA from 1 species
GAGUUUGAUCUUGGCUCAGAUUGAACGCUGGCGGCAUGCCUUACACAUGCAAGUCGAACGGCAGCACGGGAGCUUGCUCCUGGUGGCGAGUGGCGAACGGGUGAGUAAUGCAUCGGAACGUAUCCUGGAGUGGGGGAUAACGUAGCAAAAGUUACGCUAAUACCGCAUAUUCUGUGAGCAGGAAAGCGGGGGACCUUCGGGCCUCGCGCUCUUGGAGCGGCCGAUGUCGGAUUAGCUAGUUGGUGAGGUAAAGGCUCACCAAGGCGACGAUCCGUAGCAGGUCUGAGAGGAUGAUCCG